rnacentral:lncRNA from 1 species
ACCGGGACAAUCCCGCGUGCUGCCGCCGCAGCCGGAGGAGCACAGGGACGGGGUGCCCAUGCAAACCGUCUCCCCGGGAAGCCCGGCUGGAGCCGAGGGCUCCCAGGGCCUCCGGCAGGUGGGAUCCUUCCCGGGGGAGUGUGGCAAAUAACCCGAGUUCGUGGACGCGCACACGCACCUUUCCUCACCUCAGCCCCACCAUCCUCCUCUUCCCGGAGUAAUUCCAGCUGCUGGCGCUGCUCUUGCUUCCGGCAGAUAAACCCAGCUCUGGAAGAAGAGACUUUCCACGUAGGUGACAAGUGCGGACCUGUGGGGUGGGAAACCUUGGGAAAAAGAGCCAACAGACCGAGAGCAAAGCAGAAACCGGGGGGAAGUCGGAAACGGAAGGAUUUCCAGCAGCGACGGAGAGGAGGGAGAAAGGGCGAACGUCCGGCAGCGGUUACGGGGACCGAGCCCCAGGGACGCGGGCGACCUCGGGAAAGGAAGGGGCUGGGGGCGCCCGGCGAGGAGACGGGGCAGGGAGCUCAGCUCCGCUCCGGUGGCAGGAGCUCGGCCCCCGGCAGGUCCCGACGGCGGAUUCGGGGGGUGCGAGCGGCACCGGUGUCCCGUCUCUUCGCGGAGGGAUGCAGCCAGCGCCGGCUCCGAGCCGCCGGGGCAGAGGGCAGCUGCGGGGAGACCCGGCGCUGGCACCAGCUCGGGGCAGGAGCGCCGGCUCCGCUGAGCAGAGCCCAUCCGGCGUCGAAUCCGGGCCGGCAUGGGCCCGCGGCAGCCUCCUCCCUGCGAGCUCGGCGGCAGAAACACCCCGCGAAACAGCCCGAGCGCAGCCCGGGGCUUGGGCAAGGACGCGGCACCACAGACCUGAUCCCUCCCCGGCCGCGAGUCCCGGCUGCCGAGACGCUCCAGGGAGCCCAGCGGCCGGGCUCCGCCGCAGGCACGCGGCACCGGCUCCGCACAGCGCGGGACAGCGGGUCCGAGGGCGGGAAGGGCGAUUCCUGGGCCUUUAGCCCAUCCGCUUCCCAAAGAGAUGACAAAAAGAAAGCUUUCAACCAGAGAAAAGCCACCAGGGGACAGACCAUUUGUUUUAUAUAUAUUUGUAUGUAUAUAUAUAGAGAGAUAUUUAUAUAUAUAUAG